UACGUAGGGGGCAAGCGUUGUCCGGAAUCAUUGGGCGUAAAGAGCGUGUAGGCGGCCCGGUAAGUCCGCUGUGAAAGUCCAGGGCUCAACCCUGGGAUGCCGGUGGAUACUGUCGGGCUCGAGUCCGGAAGAGGAAUGUGGAAUUCCUGGUGUAGCGGUGAAAUGCGCAGAUAUCAGGAGGAACACCAAUGGCGAAGGCAGCACUCUGGGACGUGACUGACGCUGAGACGCGAAAGCGUGGGGAGCAAACAGG
rnacentral:rRNA from 1 species